rnacentral:rRNA from 1 species
UACGUAGGGUGCGAGCGUUAAUCGGAAUUACUGGGCGUAAAGGGCGCGUAGGCGGCCAACUAAGUCAGACGUGAAAUCCCUCGGCUUAACCGGGGAACUGCGUCUGAUACUGGAUGGCUUGAGAUUGGGAGAGGGAUGCGGAAUUCCAGGUGUAGCGGUGAAAUGCGUAGAUAUCUGGAGGAACACCGGUGGCGAAGGCGGCAUCCUGGACCAACACUGACGCUGAGGAGCGAAAGCCAGGGGAGCAAAGCGGG